CUUUUAGCUUAAUGGUUGAGCGCUGGCUUUGAGAGCCAUAGAUCGGUGGUUCGAACCCACCAGGG
rnacentral:tRNA from 1 species